rnacentral:rRNA from 1 species
UACGAGGGGCCCAAACGUUAUUCGGAUUUACUGGGCUUAAAGAGUUUGUAGGCGGUUCGUCAAGUUUGGUGUGAAAGUCCAGGGCUCAACCCUGGAAUGCCGGUGGAUACUGUCGGGCUAGAGUCCGGAAGGGGCGAGUGGAAUUCCUGGUGUAGCGGUGAAAUGCGCAGAUAUCAGGAGGAACACCAAUGGCGAAGGCAGCUCGCUGGGACGUGACUGACGCUGAGACGCGAAAGCGUGGGGAGCAAACAGG